CAGGCUCACCCCAAACCCGGAGCAGGCUCACCCCAAACCUGGAGCAGGCUCACCCCAAACCCGGAGCAGGCUCACCCCAAACCUGGAGCAGGCUCACCCCAAACCCGGAGCAGGCUCACCCCAAACCUGGAGCAGGCUCACCCCAAACCCGGAGCAGGCUCACCCCAAACCUGGAGCAGGCUCACCCCAAACCCGGAGCAGGCUCACCCCAAACCUGGAGCAGGCUCACCCCAAACCCGGAGCAGGCUCACCCCAAACCUGGAGCAGGCUCACCCCAAACCCGGAGCAGGCUCACCCCAAACCUGGAGCAGGCUCACCCCAAACCCGGAGCAGGCUCACCCCAAACCUGGAGCAGGCUCACCCCAAACCCGGAGCAGGCUCACCCCAAACCUGGAGCAGGCUCACCCCAAACCCGGAGCAGGCUCACCCCAAACCUGGAGCAGGCUCACCCCAAACCCGGAGCAGGCUCACCCCAAACCUGGAGCAGGCUCACCCCAAACCCGGAGCAGGCUCACCCCAAACCUGGAGCAGGCUCACCCCAAACCCGGAGCAGGCUCACCCCAAACCUGGAGCAGGCUCACCCCAAACCCGGAGCAGGCUCACCCCAAACCUGGAGCAGGCUCACCCCAAACCCGGAGCAGGCUCACCCCAAACCUGGAGCAGGCUCACCCCAAACCCGGAGCAGGCUCACCCCAAACCUGGAGCAGGCUCACCCCAAACCCGGAGCAGGCUCACCCCAAACCUGGAGCAGGCUCACCCCAAACCCGGAGCAGGCUCACCCCAAACCUGGAGCAGGCUCACCCCAAACCCGGAGCAGGCUCACCCCAAACCUGGAGCAGGCUCACCCCAAACCCGGAGCAGGCUCACCCCAAACCUGGAGCAGGCUCACCCCAAACCCGGAGCAGGCUCACCCCAAACCUGGAGCAGGCUCACCCCAAACCCGGAGCAGGCUCACCCCAAACCUGGAGCAGGCUCACCCCAAACCUGGAGCAGGCUCACCCCAAACCUGGAGCAGGCUCACCCCAAACCUGGAGCAGGCUCACCCCAAACCUGGAGCAGGCUCACCCCAAACCUGGAGCAGGCUCACCCCAAACCUGGAGCAGGCUCACCCCAAACCUGGAGCAGGCUCACCCCAAACCUGGAGCAGGCUCACCCCAAACCUGGAGCAGGCUCACCCCAAACCUGGAGCAGGCUCACCCCAAACCUGGAGCAGGCUCACCCCAAACCUGGAGCAGGCUCACCCCAAACCUGGAGCAGGCUCACCCCAAACCUGGAGCAGGCUCACCCCAAACCUGGAGCAGGCUCACCCCAAACCUGGAGCAGGGUCACCCCAAACCCGGAGCAGGCUCACCCCAAACCUGGAGCAGGCUCGCCCCGUCCCCUGCUGACCACCCCCCGAGCAGGAGGGACCAUCCCCACGGAUCCAUCCCCCUCCUCACCGUGCCCUGCCCCGUUUCAGGUUCCAUCCAUCAUUUGGGGUCCUGCUCCACCCCCACAUCUCCUCCAGGGGUGUGCGGGGAUCUCCCACCCCGUCCUGGCAGCAGCACCACCUGAGCCACACCCUGUGCCCUUCCUCCCUCCCAUCCUCCUCCUCCUCCUCGGGGGGGGGGGGGGGGGGGAGGGCACACGGGGGGUUCAACUGCACAAAACCUGCCAGGGCUCCUUUCCACCAGCACGGGGACAGCAGAGGGGUCCCAAAUUUAUCACUGAACCACCACUCUGUGGCAGGAAUUUGGUGUUUCAGGGUGUGGAGGGGGGAUUUGGUGAUGCACAAGCAGGGAUGUUGGUGAGGAGCAGGACCCAGAAGCUGGCACUGCUGAGCAUCCACCACCCCGAGCCCUCCACCAGGUCUCCACGCACAAACAGCUACUCAUUUUCACCCCAUUUCUGAAAGACUUCCUCUCCUCCUCCAACCACUCCCUUUAGGCCACCCUAUUCAUCUCCAAAUAAUCAUCAGAUUUUUUUUUUUUUUUCCUUGUUUUUCCAAUUAGAAAUUUUGUGGUAAAUGCGUGGUUGGGAGAAGUUUGUAAAUCCCAAUAAAUUUGCUUCUGGUUUGCCCUCAUCCCGGGAUGCUUUUAUGCCAUCCACCCCAUUCCAGUGCUGACACCUGGCAGAGGGAUCCAGGAGGGGGAUAAACCCCACUGUGACCCAGCUCCUCUCCCUUUGCUCUGUCUCAGGCUAGAGCAGAACCCCAGGCAGCUCCUCCACAGCCCCCCAAAGCCAGCCAGGCUCCAGCUGGCAAAGGUGGCAUCCAGGCAGGUUUUGUGCCAGUUUGGGACCGUUUUCGGGGUGUCCCUGCACAGGGUGACAGGGCAGCAGGCUGGGAGGGGGACAGGGGACCAGCAUCCCUGAGAGCACCUGCAGGGAGAAAGCCCAUCCCUAAUGGCUGUGCCAGCCAGGAAAGGUCCCUUCUCCUCCAGACCCCCAACCACGAGCAGGUGACGCACCCUGGGAUCAGGGGGCUGACACCCAUCCCUGGGAAACUGCCAGAGCAAGUGGCAACACGAGGAAAUUCCUCAUUCUUUCCUUUUUCCUUCUGCUAAGUCACUGCUCAAGGCUCAAGCAGGUUUUCUGCACAGCUCUGUGGCCUUUUGAGGCCUAGAAACCUUCAGGCAGAAUCUCAUUAGGAUCAUUACUUCAGUUGCAUCUUUCAGUAAAAAAAACUCGUUCCCUCCCCUUUUCCUGAUUUAAAGCUUUGGCCGAUGUGCAAUGGAAAUGCAUUUUUAAAACGCUUUUAUGGAUGCUGUUUGCUAAAAUCCACAAUUUGCUCUCAGAAGCAGCACUAGCCCAUCCCCUCUCCACACACCAGGGCGAGGUGAGGCGCUCCUGGGAACUGGGAACUCCAGUGCUGCAAUGCCCGGUGGAGGUGCCUGCUCCGGUAGGGAGGACGCCGUCUGCACCCAACUUGUCAUGCAAACGGGAUUAAGCCCUAAAAAUCUGCCUCUUCCUGCCCUGACGCAGCUUUAGGGAUCCAGGAGCCUCCAGCAGGCUGCGGAUGUGGCCGCACCCCGUUUCACAUCAAAGCUGGUUUAGGAAAACCCUUCUGGAUUAAACCUGUGCCUACCAAAGCCCUUCGAGCCCCCGGGGGGGGGGGGGGGGGGGGGGGGGGGGGGGGGGGGGGGGGGGGGGGGGGGGGGGGGGGGGGGGGGGGGGGGG
rnacentral:lncRNA from 12 species